rnacentral:lncRNA from 1 species
CAUGACUUCUGUCCUACAAUUGAUGCAUGCAUUUACCGUAGCUAGGAAGGAUCUGCCUAAGAUAAUAGAAAUUUGCCUUGGAUUGCCACUCAGUUUCAUAUCAAGGACUAAAAAAUCAACUAAAAAAUAGAACUCAUCUACCUUGACCAAAAUAUCCUCGAUCAUCCCACGUGGUGUCUUAAUUGAUUUAUCAACUAACUGUAGAGUGAUCGAUGUGGGUUUCAAUUCUUUGAAUCCAAAAAGUUCAUAAACUGAGCUAAGUAAAAGGUUCACACUCGCCCC